GAUGAGAACGCAGCGAAAUGCGAUAAGUAAUGUGAAUUGCAGAAUUCAGUGAAUCAUCGAAUCUUUGAACGCACAUUGCGCCCGCCAGUAUUCUGGCGGGCAUGCCUGUUCGAGCGUCAUUACAACCCUCAGGCCCCCGGGCCUGGCGUUGGGGAUCGGCGGAGCCCCCCGUGGGCACACGCCGUCCCCCAAAUGCAGUGGCGGUCCCGCCGCAGCUUCCAUCGCGUAGUAGCUAACACCUCGCGACUGGAGAGCGGCGCGGCCACGCCGUAAAACACCCAACUCUUCUGAAGUUGACCUCGAAUCAGGUAGGAAUACCCGCUGAACUUAAGCAUAUCAAUAAGCGGAGGA
rnacentral:misc_RNA from 1 species